UAGGCUAGGUUCGAGGGAACAGAAAGUUGGAACCCAACCACUGCGAGGCGUGGCCAACCGCGUCACAUUGCUCAAUCGACUCCCCUUAGAAGCCCGCCAUCCCUUCUCUGCCAUUUCUCACCUUCCUUCGCGGCAUUGCCGGCGGCUGCAGCCCGACGGUCCCGAUUCGGGCGGCGGCAGCACCAGCAGGAACGGGGGCUCCGGCGGGCUCCGUGGCGGCCUCUGUAACAGUUCCAAACGCUGCGGACGAUCCCAAGUGCCUCCUGCCUCUCAGCGUCUAGAGCCUUCUGCGCAGGCGCCGCGGGCUGGAAGCGCCUUUUCCUUCACUUCCGGCUGAGGCUUGCGUCACCUGACCUUUAAGCCAGUGAGAAUACAAGGAAGUUCGAAACUUGUACUGAGGCUAGUCAGCGCCAUUUUGGAAUUGGGCAGGAGACGACACCAAUUGUGAAACCUUGGACUAGACAUUUCUAGAUAGGAAUGCGGCAUCCGUUGUGGAAUUAGGUAGCCAUGAUUGUUUGGGGCAGAAGUCUGGCAGUUGAAGUGGCUAAGCAAAUAAGAACGUAGCUGGUAGCGAGCACGUUGGACUCUAAGGCAAGCUUCCCUUCUUCAGAAUACCUGAUCUAACUGUAUGGGAACGCCCAAUACAGCUUGGGACUCGGCAAGUGUUUGAGCAGCUACCUUAAUCUAGCUGAAUGUUUUGCUGGUGAGUUCAUUACAAUAAAGCGAUUUUGUUAAAAGAAA
rnacentral:lncRNA from 1 species